rnacentral:rRNA from 1 species
UACGUAGGGUCCGAGCGUUGUCCGGAAUUAUUGGGCGUAAAGAGCUCGUAGGCGGUUUGUCGCGUCUGCUGUGAAAUCCCGAGGCUCAACCUCGGGCCUGCAGUGGGUACGGGCAGACUGGAGUGCGGUAGGGGAGAAUGGAAUUCCUGGUGUAGCGGUGGAAUGCGCAGAUAUCAGGAGGAACACCGAUGGCGAAGGCAGAUCUCUGGGCCGUAACUGACGCUGAGGAGCGAAAGCGUGGGGAGCGAACAGG